rnacentral:rRNA from 1 species
AGGACGAACGCUGGCGGCGUGCUUAACACAUGCAAGUCGAACGGUGACCCUCGGAGCUUGCUUCGAGGUGAUCAGUGGCGAACGGGUGAGUAACACGUGAGUAACCUGCCCCAGACUCUGGGAUAACCCCGGGAAACCGGAGCUAAUACCGGAUAUGACACGGAGAGGCAUCUCUACCGUGUGGAAAGUUUUUCGGUCUGGGAUGGACUCGCGGCCUAUCAGCUUGUUGGUGAGGUAAUGGCUCACCAAGGCGACGACGGGUAGCCGGCCUGAGAGGGCGACCGGCCACACUGGGACUGAGACACGGCCCAGACUCCUACGGGAGGCAGCAGUGGGGAAUAUUGCACAAUGGGCGAAAGCCUGAUGCAGCGACGCCGCGUGAGGGAUGAAGGCCUUCGGGUUGUAAACCUCUUUCAGCAGGGACGAAGCGAAAGUGACGGUACCUGCAGAAGAAGCGCCGGCUAACUACGUGCCAGCAGCCGCGGU